rnacentral:rRNA from 1 species
GACAGAGGCCUCAAGCGUUAGGCGGAAUCACUGGGCUUAAAGCGUGUGUAGGCGGAUCGUUAAGUGUCUUGUGAAAUCCCACGGCUCACCCGUGGAACGGCUGGGCAUACUGGGCGUCUUGGGCCAACUAGGGGCAGUCGGAACAAGCGGUGGAGCGGUGAAAUGCGUAGAUAUCGCUUGGAACGCCGAAGGUGAAAACAGACUGCUGGGGUUGCGCCGACGCUGAGACACGAAAGCCAGGGGAGCAAACGGG